UCUGCCUUUUGCUCUCUCCUUCAAUUUGCAAAAACAAUUUUCCACACACGUGUAACGUUUGCUUUAAUUAAAGCAUUUGUAAUAAAAUUAGUCGAAAUAUUUUGUCGAAAUAUCAUUUUCUUUUUGGUAUUCCUUGAUUAGGACCCUACGAAGCGACGUCGUUAUGGGACGGGCGUUCUCUUACCUUCUUGCAAAACAAUGCUGGAUAGGGACUGGUACGUGGAUCAAUCUCCCCUCGAGUUUCUCCAAACGACGCGUUUUUGUUGAACCCUAGCAGCACCUUAUGUUUCAUCAAAUGCCGAGUUUCUCCUCCUUGUUCGACGCCAACAUGAACGGUUUUCUCGACAGUGGUUUUGAUUUCGAUGUAGAGAGCUGUUUCUUAGCAGGUUUUUUGGGGGGAAUGUGCCGAAUUCAAACGCCGAGUUUACGGAGAGUCGACUCGGCAGGAGAGGCGUAACAGGGCAAUGCUGUGGUCUCUUUAGAAGCUUUCUCCACCCACUCUGUAUCGGAAGCGGAUGGGGAGCUGUGGCGAGAGGCCGGGAAUUUGGAGGAGUUGGAGCUUCCGCCUUCGGCGUCGGAGGUGGCCGAGAGGAGGAGGAAGAAAGAGGAUAAGAAAGGGUUGAAUUAUGAAUCUAAUGAACACGGGAAGUUGUUGGAGAAUGGUUUUGAUGCGAAUGAUAAUGAUGAUAAUGAGAAUGAGAAUAAUAUUGGUGGUGGAGACCAGAAGGGAAAGAAGGCGAUGCCGGCAUAGAAUCUCAUGGCUGAGAGAAGGCAGAGGAAGAAACUGAAUGAUAAGUUGUACAUGCUUUAGGUCUAUCGUGCCCAAGAUUAGCAAGAUGGAUAGGGCUUCAAUACUUGGGGAUGCCAUUGACUACCUUGUCGAGUUACUACAGCGGAUUAAUGAUCUUCAUAAUGAACUAGAGUGAAGCCUGCCUGGCUCAUCCCUUCCACCUUCUUCCAGCUUUCACCCUGUGGCACUCACUUUGGCUACCCUUCCCUGCCGCGUGAAGGAAGAACUAUGUCCUACCGCUCUGCCAUGUCCUAAAAAUCAACCAGCAAAGAUUUUUUAACCUGCAGAGUAGAUAGGCCAAUAGGCCGUGAUAGGUCCACUGAUUUUAGUCGCUUGUUGCUUCUUGCAAUGCCAUGAUGAUCUGUCACUACUAGGAUUGUGACUUCUCACAUGACCUGUAAGUAUACAUGUGUGAUGAAUGCUAAUUUGGUAAUGAUAAUGGGCACUGAAUUUGAAUAAAUACCUCCUUUGUUUCUGGAUGAAUUGCAUCAUAUAGUGUGUCGACCUGUCAAAAAUAUUAUUUCAGAGUCUGCAUAUUUCUUGCAUAUGGACUGCUUACCACAUAGAAAUUGCACUAUUUAUGCUCUUUUGCUAGGUCUUGUGCUACGUAUUACAUUUAGAAACAUGUUUUUAACACUGAUAAUGGCUCCCAUGUUUCAUCUGUCACUGUUUUGAUGGCUUCUUUUUUUCUUUUGAAAUCCAUCAUCAUUGUUUUGACGGCUUCAGUUUUUCUUGAAAUCCAUCACCGUUUUCUUUCUUUCUGUUAGUGAUUUGAUAGCUUCUGUUUUUUUUUUUGACACCCAUCAUUGCUUAGUGUUUUGCUUAGGUUACGUAACCUUCUCAUAUGCAUUUAUAUGAUUGUGCAAAAGGUAAAACUUGAAGAACUACUUCUUGUGUUGAGGGUAUUGAACUUAUAUAUGACGGGGUGUCUCAACACGGAACAACGUUUGUAUCAUUAACGUGUCAACUUUAUGAUAUAAAUUUUGUUAUCAUUCUGUAAAAUUAUUUAAUAUGGUGUUCAAUAACAUAUUUGAUCUUUGUCUUCAUUAUGAGGUAUGAUUGUGUUAAUAAAAAAAAUCAGGUAUCAUCGUGGUAUAUAUAUGCUCAAAUACAUUGAGUUGUGGAAUGGUGUGGAAAGUUGGGAUGGAAUGCACAUGCUAGACUUUACUGUGUGUGAAAUUCAAUACUCUCGUAGACUACUGAUUUGUCGAUGGGUGUUGCACCCAUUAAAGGAAAAUAAGACAGCUACUCUGAUGUCAACAAAACUUGGUCAAACAUUUGUAUGAUGAUGACCAGUUUUUUUGUAAUUAUUUGAGAGAAAACGAGGAAGAGAGAAUGAGAGACUAAACCAGGAAAUGAAGGCGCAAUGGCAGAUGUUAUGUGCAGAUCAAAUAAAAAAAAAUGUUGAAAUUAA